AGAAAUGGAUAAAAAGACGUUGGUGAAGCGGCGCGCGCUAAACCCUGAAGUUCGAUGGAAAAUGACCACAUGUCAAGGAGGGAUGCUGCGGUUGAGAGAGUCUCAGUGUCCAACAGAGAAGACCCGGGACUAUGCUGUAAAAGAGAAAAUUACAAGGAGGCCUGGAUCUGGGAAACUUAAAUAACUAGUGAAUCAGACGGGCCAUGCCAAUCCAUCUUAAGGCAGUCUGAGCUACUAAAAUAAUGAAAUUAAAAAGAGAGAAGAUCUGUCUGCGUCAGUGCUUUAGUGCAGAUGAAGGUGGCCGAACAGAUUUCCCCAUGAAGGAGGUCCAGAAAGUGUACUUCACCAGCAAAUUCAACAAUGUGGACAAGCUAGGAAAACAAGAGGUGUAAUUCAUGUCACAAUUCACACCCCACAUACACUCAGACAUAGGACACAUCCAAGCACCCAAUACUGCCAUAAUUAAAUGCAUAAGGAAUGCUUAUGAAUGAGAUUUUUCAUUAUGUAUGUAUAGAGUUUAUAUAUAGAUUUAUACCACAAUACAUUAUUCAGUUAUAUAAUUGUAUAUAUUACUGUGUAAUAAAAUUAUAUUAUUGUAUAAUUACCAUCGUAAAAUAAA